rnacentral:miRNA from 1 species
CUGGGAGGUGUGAUAUCGUGGU